AGUGAACGCUGGCGGUAGGCCUAACACAUGCAAGUCGAACGGCAGCACAGUAAGAGCUUGCUCUUACGGGUGGCGCGUGGCGGACGGUUGAGGAAUACAUCGGAAUCUACUUUUUCGUGGGGGCUAACGUAGGGAGACUUACGCUAAUACCACAUACGACCUACGGGUGAAAGCAGGGGAUCUUCGGACCUUUCGCGAUUGGUAGUGCCGAUGUCGGAUUAGCUAGUUGGCGGGGUCAAGGCCCACCAAGGCGACGAUCCGUAGCUGGUCUGAGAGGAUGGUUAGCCACACUGGAAGUGAGACACGGCAGAGACUCCUGCGGGAGGAAGCAGUGGGGAAUAUUGCACAAUGGGCGAAAGCCUGAUCCAGCGAUACCGCGGGGGUGAAGAAGGCCCUCGGGUGGUAAAGUCCUGUUGUUGGGAAAGAAGAGCAGCAGUUUAAUACCCCGCUGUUCUGACGGUACCCAAAGAAUAAGCACCGGCUAACUUCGUG
rnacentral:rRNA from 1 species